rnacentral:rRNA from 1 species
CCUACGUUGUUCAGCAGUAUUUAAUAUUUCUCAAUUUCCUAAACCCUUAAUCAGCAACUCCUCGUGGAGGAUGAAGGUUUUAGGAUUGUAAACUCCUUUUGUGAGAGAAGAUAAUGACGGUAUCCCACGAAUAAGCACCGGCUAACUCCGUGCCAGCAGCCGCGGUAAUACGGCGGGUGCAAGCGUUACUCGGAAUCACUGGGCGUAAAGCGUGCGCAGGCGGGCUUGUAAGUCAGAUGUGAAAUCCUGUAGCUUAACUACAGAACUGCAUUUGAAACUAUGAGUCUAGAGUGUGGGAGAGGUAGGUGGAAUGCUUGGUGUAGGGGUAAAAUCCGUAGAUAUCAAGAGGAAUACUCAUUGCGAAGGCGACCUACUGGAACAUUACUGACGCUCAUGCACGAAAGCGUGGGGAGCAAACAGGAUUAGAUACCCCUGUAGUC